AAACAAAUAACAUUGGUCUUUAUAUCCAUACAUCAAAACAAUCCAACAAAACAACAGACAACAAUCCAGCUCUAUCCAUCCAUCUAUCAACUGCUUAAUGCACAUUGUUCCAACUAAAUUCAAAUCCUUUUUAUCACUUCCAAAGGAUCUAUUUGUAUGUACAACUCCACACUCUAUAGCCUUACAAUCAAUCAACAACUAAAAUUUUCAUUUAACUUUUUUUUAAAUAAAAAUAAAAAACCACAUGAACAUUCCCUAUCUUUACGCCUUGAAAUUCAAAAGGGAAAACUAACAAGCUUUCUCCGAUGAAUAAUUACAAACUUUACUGUCAGAAAUUUGACGAGUUUGGGCAAUUCCCAUUUCUCGCCCCGCCACCAACCCUGUAUCGACUCCGGCCAGCUCCACCCAAUUCCAAUACCGCUUCCCUAUCAGCCUCCUCAUCGUCCUCGUCUCCCUUUCUCAUCAUCUGCAAAAUUUUCUUUGCUUUCUCUCUCGCUCUGUCGUUUCCUCUCUCUUCUAUCUCCCUCAACACCUCCACUGCUCUCGCCUCCUUAGCUAGCCCUUUAAAUCUUAAGCUCCCAUGACUCAAUGCCAACAAUGCCGCCACGCAAUACUCCUGAGUUGCUUCCGAGUCUACCCGCUCACUUCCCUCGCUCAACAUCCCCACCAAUAUUGCCACCGCAUUUCCAUCCAGCAUUGCCGAUCUCCCUUCCUUGCCAGCAGCUAAAUUGCAUAAAAUUAGCAACAGCCGGCUCGCCAAGUCACCUGCUUUAAUCAUGCCAAGCAGUGUUGGCACAGCGCCCAGUUUCACCAGCUUGGCCCUAUUACUCUGGAUUAAACUCAAAUGAUACAAGGCCAAAGCUGAGUCGUGGCGAGUUCGCUCACUCUCACACCUCAGAGCGUGCAUCAAUGGGUGUAACGCUCCCAAAACCCCUAUUGUCAUCUUGUUCUCGUCUUCUAAAGCUAAACUGAAAAGCGCACCGGCGGCAUGCUCUUGCGGUUCACUGGAUCCGGCCGUUAAUAGAUCAAUCAAAAGAGGAACAAAUCCUGACCGUACGAUUUUAACUUUGUUCGCUUUCUCCAGCGAGAGAUUUACCAGUGCAGCGAUGGCGUUCGUUUGCACGACGCAGUAUCUCGACGCAAUCAAGGAACGGAGAGCUGUGAGUAAUCGGUGAGUACACAGAGGAAUUCUCAUUUCCUCUCGUGCUCUAGUAAGCUUCCUCAGCGAAAUCACCGCCUCUUCUUGUUCGUAUACUUCAGGGCUUCUAAGCUUAGCCACAAUCUCUUCCUCUUCAGUGAAUGAGGAAUUGGAGCUGGAGUCAGCGGAAUCAGGAUUUUGCGUUAGGGUUUCAGCUUCAGCAAUUUCGGAUGACGAGUUAGAAGAUGAAGUAUAACACGCUGGGCGAGUCGCGAAAGGCAGCAGAGUAAACGGACUCGCCGUCGCGUUGUUGACAAUCAUGGAUUCCUCGGAGGAGCUCGAGUAGAAAUGAUUGACUCGGCGAGUCAACUCGGUCUGCGCGUGGGAGAAUAGAACAGGAGGAUUUUCUGCCACAGCCUUCAGCAACUCGCUCUCGGAGACCCUAUUCUCGGGGUUCAAAGUUUUCGAUUCAACCAUCUUCUUACGGACGGCUUUUUCCACAGAGCUGUAAUCUGGCGGGAGAGGACGUUCAGCGCCAUUAGUAUCACACCAGUUGAGAAUCGUCGAUUUGAUGGCUAAAUUGGGGAUUACAGUAGUUAAAUCCGGAAUGGAACCAUCAUCGAGGGAAGGAGCGAAAUUCAGGUCUCGACAAACCUGGACAGAGACGCGCUCGAAGGUCUGACCGGAGGAGACAACAACAGGGUCGUACAUUAAGGAUCCAGAAAUGGGGCAAAGGAACUCUUUUGGAGGAUGAGUAGAUUUGUGGUUGGAGUUGGAGCGACGGUAGAAGGAGAUUUUCCAUCUGUGCUUGCCAUUACCACCCAUAGCUUGAAAAAGUAGUAGAGAUGAAUUGUGGCAAGAAGCUUUUGAAGUUGGGGUUUUUAUUAACAGGAAGAAGACUGGGUCUGAAGGUCUGGUUUUUAGUCUUACUCGGCUAAAGCAGCUAGUUUUCUUGUCUUUUUCUUUCCUUUUCUUUUGCUGAGGCAUUUAAUAAAACCAAUUUGAGUUAGUUAUUUACAGAAUUGACCUUCACUCUGGUCGGUCAAUGUCCAGCUGUCGAGAAUUCUAUUGUUAGCGCUAUGUUUUUUUUCUUAAUUUUUAUUACAUUUUUAUUUAUUUCAAUUUCUG
rnacentral:misc_RNA from 1 species